ACACAUGCAGUCGAGCGGCAGCACGGGUACUUGUACCUGGUGGCGAGCGGCGGACGGGUGAGUAACGCCUAGGAAUCUGCCUAGUAGUGGGGGAUAACGUCCGGAAACGGGCGCUAAUACCGCAUACGUCCUACGGGAGAAAGUGGGGGAUCUUCGGACCUCACGCUAUUAGAUGAGCCUAGGUCGGAUUAGCUAGUUGGUGAGGUAAUGGCUCACCAAGGCGACGAUCCGUAACUGGUCUGAGAGGAUGAUCAGUCACACUGGAACUGAGACACGGUCCAGACUCCUACGAGAGGCAGCAGUGGGGAAUAUUGGACAAUGGGCGAAAGCCUGAUCCAGCCGUGCCGCGUGUGUGAAGAAGGUCUUCGGAUUGUAAAGCACUUUAAGUUGGGAGGAAGGGCAGUUACCUAAUACGUGAUUGUUUUGACGUUACCGACAGAAUAAGCACCGGCUAACUCUGUGCCAGCAGCCGCGGUAAUACAGAGGGUGCAAGCGUUAAUCGGAAUUACUGGGCGUAAAGCGCGCGUAGGUGGUUUGUUAAGUUGGAUGUGAAAGCCCCGGGCUCAACCUGGGAACUGCAUCCAAAACUGGCAAGCUAGAGUAUGGUAGAGGGUGGUGGAAUUUCCUGUGUAGCGGUGAAAUGCGUAGAUAUAGGAAAGGAACACCAGUGGCGAACGCGACCACCUGGACUGAUACUGACACUGAGUGCGAAAGCGUGGGGAGCAAACAGGAUUAGAUACCCUGGUAGUCACGCGUAACGAUGUCACUAGCCGUUGGGAGCU
rnacentral:rRNA from 1 species